CACGCCAAUGGCGUGCACGCGCAGCAGCAGAACCGUUUCACAAAAGGCCAAGCGGGCAGCCGGUGCAAAUCCGGUGCGGUCGCGCCACUGUAAUCAGCCUGAGUGCCGUUGGCACCUUUGGCUGAGAGCCAGACCUCGCUUGGCGGCAACUCCCAAC
rnacentral:ncRNA from 14 species